GGUCCCAUAGCUCAGUUGGUUAGAGCGUCGUACUAAUAUCACCAAUAUAACUACUGGUAAUAUCUAGUAAUGCGAAGGCCGGCGGUUCGAGCCCGCCUGGGACCA
rnacentral:tRNA from 1 species